AAGCUCGUAGUUGAAUUUCGGUGGUUAGUAGGUUGGUCAUGCCUCUGGUAUGUACUGGUCUCACUGAUUCCUCCUUCCUUAUGAACCGUAAUGCCAUUAAUUUGGUGUUGCGGGGAAUUUGGACUGUUACUUUGAAAAAAUUAGAGUGUUUAAAGCAAGCUAACGCUUGAAUACAUUAGCAUGGAAUAAUGAAAUAGGACGUUCGAUCUUAUUUUGUUUGGUUUUCUUAGGAUUGACGUAAUGAUUAAUAGGGAUAGUUGGG
rnacentral:rRNA from 1 species